AAUCAAGUGCCUUAAGGGUGUUCGGUGGAUGCCUUGGCGCUGAGAGGCGAUGAAGGACGUGCUACGCUGCGAUAAGCCGUGGGGAGCUGCGAAGAAGCUUUGAUCCGCGGAUUUCCGAAUGGGGAAACCCACCUUCGAUAGCCGGAACUCCAAGACCUUUGGUUUUGGGGUUUGACCAGAAAUGAUCGGAACCAUGACCGCAAGGUUUUGGAUUUCCGGUUAUCAAGAGAAGGUAUGAGACUUCUGAAUACAUAGGAGGUUUCAAGCAAACCCAGGGAACUGAAACAUCUAAGUACCUGGAGGAAAGGACAUCAACAGAGACUCCGUUAGUAGUGGCGAGCGAACGCGGACCAGGCC
rnacentral:rRNA from 2 species